AAUACCGUGGCUCCACCGCGGCACCGAGCACCUCACAGACCGGAACGUGGAGGAGAAACGCUGCUGCUGAUUACAGAGUGAAGAAGACGAAGGCGCGUGAGCAGCAGCAGAAGAGGAAGCUACUGGUCUAGAAACGGAAGAAGAAGAGGCUCUUCUCAAGAGUGAAGAAGCGGCAGAAGAAGAGUAUUUGCGAGCGGUAUUACUAUACAUGACUCUCUUUAUGUCUUUAUAUAUAACACCAAAAUUUCAGAUCACAACCAUUCAAACAAUUAUGAUGUGUAUUUCCUAGGGUUGUGUGCCGAAUUUCUAGAAGAAAAAAACAAAACAGAGAUGAAGAUGAAGAUGAUAGUGACGAAGAAGAUAACAGAGAAACAGAAGGAAGAUAUGGGGAUGGAUUUAUGAAUUGAGAAUUGGGGAAUGAUUGAGAGAGAGAGAGAGAAGAGGAGAUUAUUCAAAUGCUAAGCAGUGCCUAAGCUGCGGCACAACACAUGGAGCUGAAAAAGCUGGGCUGG
rnacentral:lncRNA from 1 species